rnacentral:rRNA from 1 species
UACGUAGGGAGCGAGCGUUGUCCGGAUUUCUUGGGCGUAAAGAGCUCGUAGGCGGUUUGGUAAGUCGGGUGUGAAAGCUCCGGGCUCAACUCGGAGAGGUCACUCGAUACUGCCAUGACUUGAGUCCGGUAGGGGGGUGUGGAAUUCCCAGUGUAGCGGUGAAAUGCGCAGAUAUUGGGAGGAACACCAAUGGCGAAGGCAGCACCCUGGGCCGGUACUGACGCUGAGGAGCGAAAGCGUGGGGAGCAAACAGG